AACCUGCACAGUCUGGGAGCGGCAGCUUGCAGUUCUGAAGAGACAGAACUGUGUGGUUUGAGAAGAUGCUCCCUCUUUCAGAUGAAAGGAAACAAAGUUAUGCUUAGCUGGUGGGCUUCCCCAAACACACACAAAGCAUGGUUGCCUGCAUAUCCUGAUGUAGAACUCUCAGCUCCUUCUCCAGCACCAUGUCUUCCUGUGUGCUGCCAUGCUUCCUACCAUGAUGAGAAUGGACUGAACCUCUGAAACUGACACUUCCAGACCUGAGGGUUCCUGCCCCUGCUGGCUUCAACUGCUAAUAAAGAAUUGUCAGGUCUGGAGAGAUGGCUCGGCGGUUAAGAGUACUGACUGCUCUUCUGAAGAUUCUGAGUUCAAAUCCCAGUAACCACAUGGAGGCUCACAACCAUCUGUAACAAGAUCUGAUGCCCUCUUCUGAAGUGUCUGAAGACAGCUA